rnacentral:lncRNA from 1 species
AUUUGAUAAUAUUUUUAUUGUCAUUUGAUAUUUUAAACAUGAUCCAUGUUUUAGAGGUUAAGCAUUUCUUUUACUUUUUGUUCUUGGGUUAGAGACAUUAUAAUGAGAAGGUAAAUGAUUUUCAAAUGGAUUAUCUCAAAGUUGUUUUGUUAACUUUACAAUCAAGGAAUAGGUGUUCUUCAUUGACCUACAAGAGGCACUGUUUACACAUUCUAUCCUUUCUAGGAAUUUUAUAUUGUCCACUAUUUUUUAUUUCUAAAUUAUGACCAAAAAUUCUAUACCUAUCGACACAAUCAAGUUUACAGUUUUUAUCAAAAGUUUUUAUUUUUCUUUUUUUCUUUAA